rnacentral:sRNA from 4 species
AUAUCUCUCUGUACGGGAAGGAUGAGAAGCUUCGACCAAGGUUCGAUUCGAGCGCAGCGAGAAAGCGUUGCCGCAGGCAACGACCCGAAGGGCG